rnacentral:rRNA from 1 species
UACGUAGGUGACAAGCGUUGUCCGGAUUUACUGGGCGUAAAGAGCGCGCAGGCGGUCGUUCAAGUCGAGUGUGAAAGCCCCCGGCUCAACUGGGGAGGGUCAUUCGAUACUGAUCGACUCGAAGGCAGGAGAGGGUAGUGGAAUUCCCGGUGUAGUGGUGAAAUGCGUAGAUAUCGGGAGGAACAUCUGUGGCGAAGGCGACACCCUGGACCAGCACUGACACUGAGGCACGAAAGCGUGGGGAGCAAACAGG